CUCGUAGGCGGUUUGUUAAGUCGGAUGUGAAAGCCCCGGGCUCAACCUGGGAACUGCAUUCGAUACUGGCAAACUAGAGUAUAGAAGAGGCAAGUGGAAUUCCGGGUGUAGCGGUGAAAUGCGUAGAUAUCCGGAGGAACAUCAGUGGCGAAGGCGACUUGCUGGUCUAAUACUGACGCUGAGGAGCGAAAGCGUGGGGAGCAAACG
rnacentral:rRNA from 1 species